rnacentral:rRNA from 1 species
AUUGAACGCUGGCGGCAGGCCUAACACCUGCCAGUCGAGCGAGCGGCGGACGGGUGAGUAAUGUCUGGGAAACUGCCUGAUGGAGGGGGAUAACUACUGGAAACGGUAGCUAAUACCGCAUACCAUCAGAUGUGCCCAGAUGGGAUUAGGUAGUAGGUGGGGUAACGGCGCACCUAGGCGACGAUCCCUAGCUGGUCUGAGAGGAUGACCAGCCACACUGGAACUGAGGCACGGGCCAGACUCCUACGGGCGGCAGCAGGGGGGAAUAUGGCACAAGGGGCGCAAGCCUGAUGCAGCCAGGCCGCGUGUGUGAAGAAGGCCUUCGGGUUGUAGAGCACUUUCAGCGGGGAGGCGUUACACGCAGAAGAAGCACCGGCUAACUCCGUGCCAGCAGCCGCGGUAAUUC